UGGGACGAGAAGACCCUAUAGAAUUUAAUAUAAUUUUUGAAUUUGUUUAAGGAAAUAAAUUUAAUUUUAAUUAUUAUAUUUUAUUGGGAGGAUAAUUAAAUAAAAUGAACUUUAAUUUUAAAAUAAUUUAACAUUAAUUAAUGAAAUUUAUUUAAAGGAUUGAUUAUUAGGAAGAAUAUUUUUUUUAUAAUAAUUAUAUAAGAAUUAAUUACCUUAGGGAUAACAGCGUGAUAUUUUUAGAAAGAUCAUAUUAAUAAAAAUGAUUGCGACCUCGAUGUUG
rnacentral:rRNA from 2 species